ACCGCCGCGAAAGCAUUCGGCAAGGACGCUUUCAUUAAUCAAGAACGAAAGUCGGGGGAUCGAAGACGAUCAGAUACCGUCGUAGUCCCGACCGUAAACGAUGCCGACCGAGGGCCCGGAGGAGUUACGUACGACCCCUCCGGGCCCUCCCGCGAGAAAUCAGGAGUAUUCGGGUUCCGGGGGGAGUAUGGUCGCAAGGCCGAAACUUAAAGGAAUUGACGGAAGGGCACCACCAGGAGUGGAAUCUGCGGCUUAAUUUGACCCAACGCGGGAAAACUCACCAGGUUCAGGUACACGGUAAGGAUUGACGGACUGAAGGCUCUUUUCUCGAUUCCGUGGAAAGUGGUGCAUGGCCGUUUUUGGUUGGUGGAUCGAUCCGUCUGGUUAAUUCCGUUAACGAACGAGACCUCGGCACUCCGAAUAGACGCGGCGGACGUUCGCGGCCUCCGGGCCGUCUUCCGCACGAGCUUCUUAGAGGACCGUCCCCCGCGGGGAAGAGGUGCGAGGCAACGACAGGUCUGUGAUG
rnacentral:rRNA from 1 species